rnacentral:rRNA from 1 species
CCUACGGGAGGCAGCAGUGGGGAAUAUUGGGCAAUGGGCGCAAGCCUGACCCAGCAACGCCGCGUGAAGGAAGAAGGCUUUCGGGUUGUAAACUUCUUUUCUCAGGGACGAAGCAAGUGACGGUACCUGAGGAAUAAGCCACGGCUAACUACGUGCCAGCAGCCGCGGUAAUACGUAGGUGGCAAGCGUUAUCCGUAGUUACUGGGUGUAAAGGGCGUGUAGGCGGGAAAGCAAGUCAGAUGUGAAAACCAUGGGCUCAACCGGUGGCCUGCAUUUGAAACUGUUUUUCUGGAGUACUGGGGAGGCAGACGGAAUUCCUAGUGUAGCGGUGAAAUGCGUAGAUAUUAGGAGGAACACCAGUGGCGAAGGCGGCUUACUGGACUGUAACUGACGUUGAGGCUCGAAAGCGUGGGGAGCAAACAGGAUUAGAUACCCUUGUAGUC